ensembl:snRNA U7 U7 small nuclear RNA
UAGUGUUGCAGCUCUUUUAGAAUUUGUCUAGUGGGGUUUUUGGUUUUUGCUGGAAAGUCCCCU